CCUACGGGUGGCAGCAGUGGGGAAUAUUGGGCAAUGGGCGCAAGCCUGACCCAGCAACGCCGCGUGAAGGAAGAAGGCUUUCGGGUUGUAAACCUCUUUUCUGAGGGACGAAGAAAGUGACGGUACCUCAGGAAUAAGCCACGGCUAACUACGUGCCAACAGCCGCGGUAAUACGUAGGUGGCAAGCGUUAUCCGGAGUUAUUGGGGGUAAAGGGCGUGUAGGCGGGAAAUCAAGUCAGAUGUGAAAACUCAGGGCUCAACCCUGAGCCUGCAUUUGAAACUGGUUGUCUUGAGUGCUGGAGAGGCGAUCGGAAUUCCGGGUGUAGCGGUGAAAUGCGUAGAUAUACGGAGGAACACCAGUGGCGAAGGCGGAUUGCUGGACAGUAACUGACGCUGAGGCGCGAAAGCGUGGGGAGCAAACAGGAUUAGAUACCCCGGUAGUC
rnacentral:rRNA from 1 species